GCAGGACGACGAUAAGGAAAAACAAACUAAAACGAAAAGCCUAGAGCUUGCUGGAAGUUGAAAUUGUGGAUCUUGCUGCUGGCUUUAAAGCGAAAUGGAGUCAUAUAACAUUGCUACUAUAAUUUUUCUUUCCCUCUUUGCUUUCCGGAUUUUCUUGACCUGUUUCUGGUCGCAUUAUCGUAAAAAUGGGUGUUGCUUGAAGAAGAAUUCCUCUUAUACAGACCCUUCCGACGAAGAAAUCGCCCAUCAUCGGGGCAGUGAAGUUUUCACCAUCAACCUAAAUUACGAUAGCAGUGACUGCAGAAUUGACGCCCAACCGCCUUCGUACGAAUGUUUGGUCGAAGAAGUGUCACCUCCUGAUUACGACGAAGCUGUUCAACUACCUCCGCUACCAAAUGACGCUUUAAGUCUUCAAAAGUAGGACUACAAUAACGAGAUCGGAUGGAUUCUAAAAGUGUUUAAAAAGGACAAGUGUGAACCGUAUUGACUGAAAGCAAAACAAGAUUACCUUGUUAUGGUGCUCUGAACUGCGGUUGAAAAAGAAAAACCGGUUUCUUUUUCGAAAGCUGUUUCUGAAAGUUCUAGGAAAAAAUAAGGAACAAUUCAACAGUCGGAGGUCAAGAGUGGAUUGGCUUGUACUGGAAUGUGCACCACUUUCCAUUGUAGCCUGAAGUGAUCCCCAAGUGGUGCGGGUUUCGUGGGUGAAAGUGUUUCUGAUACGUAUUCAAAUCUGUAAAUCGACCAAGUGUUGAGAAAGUGAAUAGACGUGCUUCAAACUGUCUUCUGAUAAAAAUUGAAACCGCAAGAGGAUCAGCAGCAAAACAAAACGGAUACAUUUAAACUUCGUCCUAGUUCUGACUUCUCAAAAUAUGAGCGAAGUGUACCUGCUGGUUGCAUUUGUUUUCUUGGCUGUGGCUGCCAUCCGUAUGCUGAUGAGCCUGUGCUCAAAUCUUCGCAAGAAAAAAGAAGGAAGAAGACAAAAAGAUCAUCCAUUUGCAAGUGAACCACCGGACUUAAGGCAGAGCAUUAGCAAUCGAGCCGUUGACGUAUUUAUCAUCGACAUGGCUGGGGAAACGCCUGCAUCUUAUUAUGGCCGUUGGAAUGAACAGCCACCCCCUCCUUACGAAGAUGCCGUCCGUCUUUAUCCUCUAAAUUCUCACAGUUGAUCCUCACCAAAAGUUUUUAUUAAGUUAUACGUACAUACUGUGGUUGCUGUUAAGCUCCUGGUUUCAUAGAAGAUGUACAUUUCCUUUUCAUUGCGCGCUAAGGCGUGUCAAAAUAAGUAUUAUACAAAUACAUCUCGUUCAUAUCUUGUUUGCAUUUCUGGAUUUAUUCAGGAAUUCACCAACAGAACUAAAAAUUGGCUGUCAACUCUUUAUCGGGGCAAAUUAGAGACUUCAUUUUCUCGAUUCGAAGUGGAAUCGUCAACAGACGAGAGGUACAUAAUGGUUGGAGUCUAAAAGUAAAAAUGUUCAUGACAAUAAGCUAUCGAGGGAAAACACAAGUUAUGCUUUAUCUUUUUACGUGAGGUUGACAGCAAGAGCAACUGGCACGACAGAAUAAUGCCGACGUCAGCACGAAAAUCAGAAAGUUCAAGCCGGAAAUCACGGCCAUUCCAACAUACGUUCCUCUGUGCAUUACUGUGGCGAAAAUGCACAGCAAUCCAAGCAUUUGCAUGAAGCACUCAUAAUUAAGCAGCAAACGCUAACUCCAUAUCCUGCAACACACAAAAAAGAAGACACCACCAACCUGGGUGGGAAACAACCAUAUUGUGAAACAGUUGACUUUGUGAUUAGAUAUUUUUUGGACUUACAGGAA